UCUUGUUCAGUGAUUGGAUGUCUGCUGAACCUAUUACACGCCCUUUGAUCAAAACAGCAAACUGGGCUGAGCUACAGAGAGAAACAGCUUUAGCAGUGUACAGUCCAUACCGGUUAUUCUGCAUUGGCCACUGCAUUAAACCAUGGCAGCAGGGAGCACACGGGACUUAUGAGCAGGUGUCUGUACUUGCAGCCCAGCCCAGCGCAGCAGGACCAUAUGACUCCAUCGGCACAGCUCCAAACUUGUGUUAGUGUUGACUGCUUGAUACAGGCAACUUCGGGGCCGACAGAUACAAGUGAUGCUGAUCUAAGUAAGUCCCAGCUCGCUCAUCUCUACAGGGAAGAUGCAGAUUGUGCUCAGGUAAGUAGUUGUAGUAGUUCAGUCGCUCAGUGGUGUCCAACUCUUUGUGACCCCAUGAAACGCAGCACACCAGGCCUCCCUG
rnacentral:lncRNA from 1 species